UUGUACCAGUUAGACUGGCGAUAAAACCUGAGUUCUUGAUCUUUUUUMUCAAGAUCCAAUUCAGUUUUGUGAAGUUGUUUUUUCAGCUGGUCAUUUUCAGUGUUGAGUUUGGAAUUURCAUCUAGCAAAAAAGCUUUGGUUUCCUUCAAAUCAUGGAUCAACUUGUCUUUGGUUUGACACUCCGUUUCAAGAACAUGAAUUUUCAGAACUUGUGUCUGCAAACUACUUUCAGUCUCCUCAAGUUUACCCUUAACACACCGUAGUUUAAUUGCAAGUUCCUUGGAUUUUUCCUGCGCAGUGAUUACAUCCUGACUUCUUUUAUUUAAAUGGGCUCUUAGCUCUUUUUGUUCAGAGAAUAAUUCAGACUUUUCAAUUUCUUCUUUCUGACWGUCAGUGAUAUUGUUCUCAUCUUUUGCCUCUGGCUCUGACAGUACACUUUGAGAUAGUGAUUCACUAGGUGAAGUGUGUACACUUCCACACCAAGUAAAAGGCUCUGAACAGAAUGACAUGUAACCUUCACACUUCUUGUCACCCAUGUUAUUUUUUCUGUGAGCGUCAAAUAAACGCAUAGUAUUUUUCACAGUUUUUUUCAUCUUUUUUUCAGAUACUGUUUCCACGCCAAAAGAGAAGAUCCACUUAAACAAUGACUUCCAUGGCAGUCCUUCCCUCUUCUGGAACAUUACCAGAUCAGCCACGAUUCCAUUGGUCAAGGAAAGACGUUACUGAAGAGACUCGACGUAUCUGCCCAUGACGCAUCCGUUUCAGUGUAGAGGAGAACAAAUUGUAGGACAGUGCGAAAUGUGCACCGCAAGGGUGGUGGUUUUGGUCGUCGCCCUUUUCCAGUAAACUGCAGGAUGUGUUUUAACAAGUGGUAGUCAUCAUUCACUGUGAAAAAG